UACGUAGGGGGCAAGCGUUGUCCGGAUUUAUUGGGCGUAAAGAGCGUGUAGGCGGCCGUACAGGUCAGCUGUGAAAACUCGAGGCUCAACCUCGAGACGCCGAUGGAAACCAUCAGACUAGAGUCCGGAAGAGGAGAGUGGAAUUCCUGGUGUAGCGGUGAAAUGCGCAGAUAUCAGGAGGAACACCUAUUGCGAAGGCAGCUCGCUGGGACGUAACUGACGCUGGAGAACGCGAAAGCGUGGGGAGCAAACAGG
rnacentral:rRNA from 1 species